ensembl:snoRNA
AAGACUAUACUUUCGGGGAUCAUUUCUAUAGUUCCUUACUAGAGAAGUUUCUCUGAUCGUGCACAGUACCGGAAACCACGAGGAGGAGGUGCAGUGCUUUCUCCUGAGCAAGACGCUGGCUCUUGGUGUUGCUUUACUGCAACUGCCAUUUGCCAUGGAUGAUCGUUUUUAUUCUCUUUUGAGGGAAUAAGAGGGAGAGAGCACAGUCUGAGUGGUU